rnacentral:tRNA from 1 species
GCCUCGAUAGCUCAGCUGGUAGAGCAGCGGACUGAAAAUCCGCGUGUCGGUGGUUCAACUCCGCCUCGAGGCACCA